CUCGGCAAAAAACUGUUAUUAAAACACUUCCUGGGGACAUAAUUUACCAUAGGCCGGUGAGCGUGGAGAAAGGCCAGCACGUUUAGAAUCCAUUUCGCUGCUCGGAAGCCACUGUGAAAAAGCAACUGUAGGUCCCUGGUAAUUGCUACACCAACCUAUGAACCUCUUUAAUUUCCAUACAUCCUGAAGGGAUCAAAUGUUCGCCCUAAGUACAGCGUCAGUGCCAAGGUUUUAUGUGUGUGUGUGUGUGUGUGUGUGUAUGUGUUUCUGUGUUGUCGAGCAGGCCAACCUGUGCUGUCCCGGCUCUUGACGAGGACUGCUGCUGUGCAAACAUCGGCCCCUGGGAGUCGGCCGGACUCAGGCAGACUGGAGGAGGACGGCCCCGGCAAGUGUCCCGUCGAGGACUUGCAAAUCAAGACGGAAAACGAGAGAUGGGCGGACAGGUAGGCCCGCUCAGCUGUCAGCGCUGUCCCUUGUCUACCUUCACUCCCCCCCCUCGCCUUUCCUCCCGAUCACAGCUCUGCCAUUUGUGUUCCCAUCAGUCAUUUUCAUAGCCCCAUCCCUCUCCUCUUCUCUCUCUCUCAAUGUUAGAUGAGGACAUUGCACCCCACCUCUCCCUGAUACUUGAGCAUCUGCUUCCUUCUGCCACUUGUUGUCUCCGGAGAGUUUGAUGCUUAUGGGGGUUCUGUGUGAACUGGGUCAAAAAGCUUCCUCAUUCCUGUACAGAUGUCUGGUUCAUGCAAAGGAAAUAGGUUCUAAUAACAUGUUGAGGAAAUAUUGUGCCAUAACCAGAGGUUAGUAGUGCAACUCUGAAAUGCUGAAGAAUCCUGCAAUACCUGCCAAGCACUGCAUGUAAGAUACAUUUAGAGGUCUACAAGGCAGUCAUUGUAUGUAUAAAUAGCCCUACACCACUGCUAUCUGCCUGAAUCUAAAAGUGAGGUUGCAACAGUGAUAAAGGUCCAAUGUGAGAUGACAUAGAUUUACCCUAUUUAUGGACACAAGUGGGAAAACUUGAUACAGUACAAUUCAGGAAAGUAAAGCUAGGAAUUACAUCUAUUUUGGAAUUCUUUCAAAUCUGCACCCAACUUUGAGUAUAAGCUGACCCAGAUGCUUCAAAGCUUUUACCGCCGAAACCUGAACUUGCAAUGUUUUCCUCAUAGACUUUACUUGAGCAGGCCACCCAGGUAUAGUAAUAACAAAAACACAGAGAGAGAGAGAGAGAGAGAGAGAGAGAGAGAGAGAGAGAGAGAGAGACAUGAUCUGGCAUUACAGACGAUGCAAACAUGGUGGAUAGCCUAUUUUACAAGCACAGGUGAAACAUGGUUAACAACUGGCUUUCUCCAUACACGACUCACAUGCUGUUGUGAACACGGAAUCACGUGUGAAAAAUACAAGACAUGAGUUUUGUGUUUUGGGCAAAGAAAGUCAACAGACAGGGAGAGAGACAGAAAAGAGGUGGGGCAGGACAAGCCAGUGUGCAUGCAGAGCGGUGCAGAGAGAGAGAGAGAGAGAGAGAGAGAGAGAGAGAGAUCAACCCCUUCAGAGCACAUACUUUUCUCAAAUGAACUCCAGACUGGAGACCUUCGGAGCUUCGAAUAUUCACGGGUCAUUGUCACUUAAGCUUCAAACAACAAAAUGAUAAUCAGGACAGCCCUACUUAAGUGUCAGUGCAGAAAGUUGUGUGCCCAUUAUGUAGUCGAGGUCGACUUGUUGGGUCGGUGCGUUUCACGCCUGACUUUCAUGCAGGAUGCACACGCUGUCAAAGACCUGCGUUCAGCGUUUGCCUUUUUAUUAACCCAUACCUCGAUCUUCCCUUAACUUUACUGAAGUUUAUAAGUUACUUAAUCCUUCCCUUAAUCAUACAUCAUUUCCCAUAACCACAAUUUUGUCCUUCGUCUGACCAGUAAUGUCAUCACACAUUUCUCAACAAUCAUACCUUUCAAAUCAAACUGCCUUUCUCUCCAUAAUCCAUAGCCCAUACGUUCGAUUGAGAUUGAUCCCACACUGUUCUGCUUCAACAGGGAACCGAUCCUAUUAUAUUAUGAUAGCAAUUUAAUGGGACCUUUAAUGAAAUAAAAAAAAUAAUAAUUAAAUCACAAAAGAAUAAUUAUGGUUAAUCCUGAGAAAUACCAGUGAUGUUUUCUAAUAUGCUCGGCCUAAUUUUUAAUCAUGAAGCCAUGUGAUUAAAUGUGCUCAUGGUCCUUUUUUUACUUUUACAAAGCAGUGUGCCUUGAAUUUUGCAGAACCCCCCCCCCAAAUUCACAUUACCUGCCUGUGUUUCUGGAGCGCCUGCUUUUUAAUAAUUAUCAGAUUUAAGUAGCACUUACUCUAUUGUGUUUCUUAUCCUUGUAAUUGUG
rnacentral:lncRNA from 1 species